rnacentral:misc_RNA from 1 species
AACGCACCUUGCACCCUCUGGUAUUCCGGAGGGUAUGCCUGUUUGAGUGUCAUUAAUCUCUCAACGCAACAAGUUUAUUCUUGCUUGUGCUUGGAUGUUGAAGGCUGCCGGCGUCAUUGUCAGCUCCUUUUAAAUGUAUUAGCAGGACUAUGUAGGACCAGCUUCGGUUUGAUAAUACUUUUAUCUAUGCUGUCGCUGAGAAUCGUUUGUUCAGCUUCUAACUGUCCCCUUUGUGGGACUGUCUCCUUGCUGAGGCAUAACCUUGACUCUUGACCUCAAAUCAGGUAGGACUACCCGCUGAACUUAA